rnacentral:rRNA from 1 species
GAAUAUUGGCCAAUGGGGGCGACCCUGAUCCAGCCAUGCCGCGUGUGUGAAGAGGGCCUUUUGGUUGUAAAGCACUUUAAGCAGUGAAGAAGACUCCAUGGUGAAUACCCAUGGACGAUGACAUUAGCUGCAGAAUAAGCACCGGCUCACUGCGUGCCAGCCGCCGCGGUAAUACAGAGGGUGCAAGCGUUACUCGGAAUUACUGGGCGUAAAGCGAGCGUAGGUGGCUUGAUAAGUCAGAUGUGAAAUCCCCGGGCUUAACCGGGGAACUGCAUCUGAUACUGUUAGGCUAGUAUAGGUGAGAGGAAGGUAGAAUUCCAGGCGUAGCGGUGAAAUGCGUAGAGAUCUGGAGGAAUACCGAUGGCGAAGGCAGCCUUCUGGCAUCAUAUUGACACUGAGGUUCGAAAGCGUGGGUAGCAAAC